AAAGAUCCGUCGGAUGGGGAUAGGCUCGCGUGACAUUAGCUAGACGGCGGGGUAACGGCCCACCGUGGCGACGAUGUCUAGGGGUUCUGAGAGGAAGGUCCCCCACACUGGAACUGAGACACGGUCCAGACUCCUACGGGAGGCAGCAGUGAGGAAUAUUGGUCAAUGGCCGGAAGGCUGAACCAGCCAUGCCGCGUGAAGGUCAGUGCCCUAUGGGCGUUAAACUUCUUUUGUGCGGGAGCAAUAAUGGUCACGUGUGGCCAGACGAGAGUACCGUACGAAUAAGCAUCGGCUAACUCCGUGCCAGCAGCCGCGGUAAUACGGGGGAUGCAAGCGUUAUCCGGAUUUAUUGGGUUUAAAGGGUGCGUAGGCUGUGAGGUAAGUCAGCGGUGAAAUGCCCCCGCUCAACGGGGUGAAGUGCCAUUGAUACUGCCUUGCUGGAAUGCGGAUGCCGUGGGAGGAAUGUGUGGUGUAGCGGUGAAAUGCAUAGAUAUCACACAGAACACCGAUUGCGAAGGCAUCUCACGAAUCCGCGAUUGACGCUGAUGCACGAAAGCGUGGGUAUCAAACAGGAUUAGAUACCCCGGUAGUCCACGCUGUAAACGAUGAAUGCUAA
rnacentral:rRNA from 1 species